UACGUAGGGUGCGAGCGUUGUCCGGAAUUAUUGGGCGUAAAGGGCUCGUAGGCGGUUUGUCGCGUCGGGAGUGAAAACUCAGGGCUUAACCCUGAGCCUGCUUCCGAUACGGGCAGACUAGAGGUAUGCAGGGGAGAACGGAAUUCCUGGUGUAGCGGUGAAAUGCGCAGAUAUCAGGAGGAACACCGGUGGCGAAGGCGGGUCUCUGGGCCGUUACUGACGCUGAGGAGCGAAAGCGUGGGGAGCGAACAGG
rnacentral:rRNA from 1 species